ACAUGAUAUUGGCAUACUUAUUGAAAAGUAAGGACGCAAAACUAUAGGGUCUAAAUAAUGUAUAUUAUAUGACAGCCAGUUGUACAA
rnacentral:ncRNA from 1 species